GUGACCACCCCAAGCUCCAGCUGCAGAGCGGCGGCUUCCACCCCCUCUGGAGAAGGGCUGCAGAUUGAUUGAUUUAGGCUUUGAGAAAUGUGCUGAGUUCUUGGGUUGGUUGACUACCGACUGCCAAGAAACCAGCACACCUAGAGGCGGGGCGCUAAGGUUUUGGUUCCCUUGAAUCGACCCUACCAGCAGCCUGUGGAAGCAGGUCUUAGGGAUGGCUAGUGAUGGCUGAGACAAAGAGGAAAAGCUGCUCAUUGCGGCUACACAGAGAAUCCGGCGUUCUUGUGAAAUGAGCAAAAGAUGAAGUGCCGAAACAAAGGAUGCGCCUCCAUAGCCCUGGGGACACCUGGGGAGCCAGCCCUUCUGCAUCAAAAGACGGCGUUAGGUCCUCCUCUGUGCAAUGGGGAGCCUCCGGAGCAGGAAAUGGCAAACGAAGUCACAGACGCCACCUUGUCAUCCUCCACCCUUUACAGAAUCGAGAAGGGAAAGCAGCCUGAGGAGGUGGCAGCAGUGGGGAUGAUCUCCGGCUUCCUGCCUUCCCACCCUGGGGUGAGUGACCAGUGUUCCCUCUCUCCUUUCUUGACCCUAGAUGGCUUUCUUUCCCUCUCAUGGGUGGCAGCUUGACUGAGGCCUCUCUGGCCUGAACCUCAGUGGUGGGCUCCUGGAGGGGGAGCUUUUUCCCCAAGCCCUCCUGUGAGGAUCCCCCCACAAUAACCACAGACUCCCAGGAUCCAACUGGUCUGGACUCAGGGCAGGAGACUAGGCCAGAGGGUUGCUGAGGAUCCCAUUGGUGGUGGGGGUGGCCCUGGAGGGCUGGUGGGGGCCAGGCAGGGCCUGACAGACCUCCCAGAGCCAGAAAGGUGUAAAGCAGUGAUGGCAAACUUUUUAGAGAUGGAGUGCCGGGCAUGCCCCCUUACCCCACCUAGGGGAGGGAGGAAGCACUCCCAUUGGCUGCUGGGUGGAGAGGAGUGGCCUGAGUGCUCUGCUCCCCUCCAGUUUAUUGCUGAGUUAAAUCAGUUUUCAGAGUGUUCAGUUGUCUGGAGUACAGGUCUUUAUUUAUUCCUUAUCUUAAAAUUAAAUGAAAAUUUUCAUUUUAUACACAUAUAUUGACCAGUUACAUGUAAUAACAC
rnacentral:lncRNA from 1 species